UGGGGAAUAUUGCACAAUGGGCGCAAGCCUGAUGCAGCCAUGCCGCGUGUGUGAAGAAGGCCUUCGGGUUGUAAAGCACUUUCAGCGGGGAGGAAGGCGGUGAGGUUAAUAACCUCAUCGAUUGACGUUACCCGCAGAAGAAGCACCGGCUAACUCCGUGCCAGCAGCCGCGGUAAUACGGAGGGUGCAAGCGUUAAUCGGAAUUACUGGGCGUAAAGCGCACGCAGGCGGUCUGUCAAGUCGGAUGUGAAAUCCCCGGGCUCAACCUGGGAACUGCAUUCGAAACUGGCAGGCUAGAGUCUUGUAGAGGGGGGUAGAAUUCCAGGUGUAGCGGUGAAAUGCGUAGAGAUCUGGAGGAAUACCGGUGGCGAAGUCGGCCCCCUGGACAAAGACUGACGCUCAGGUGGGAAAGCGUGGGGAGCAAACAGG
rnacentral:rRNA from 1 species